GAUGAACGCUGACAGAAUGCUUAACACAUGCAAGUCUUUGGCGAAUCUGUGCUUGCACAGGCUAGCCAAGGCGGACGGGUGAGUAACGCGUAAAGAACUUGCCCUGCAGACAGGGAAACAGACGGAAACGACUGAUAACACCUGAUACAGUUGCCGGCACGCAUGUUCCUGGCAAUGAAAAGAGAUGCUGCAGGAGAGCUUUGCGUCCUAUUAGCUUGUUGGUGAGGUGACGGCUCACCAAGGCGAUGAUAGGUAGCCGGCCUGAGAGGGUGAACGGCCACAAGGGGACUGAGAUACGGCCCUUACUCCUACGGGAGGCAGCAGUGGGGAAUAUUGGACAAUGGGGGCAACCCUGAUCCAGCAAUUCUGUGUGCACGAAGAAGGUUUUCGGAUUGUAAAGUGCUUUCAGCAGGGAAGAAGAAAGUGACGGUACCUGCAGAAGAAGCGACGGCUAAAUACGUG
rnacentral:rRNA from 1 species